UUUCCGUAGGUGAACCAGCGGAAGGAUCAUUAACGAGUUAGGAUCUUCUAGGCCCGACCUCCCAACCCGUUGUUUACUGAACCAUUGUUGCCUCGGUGGGUCCGUCUUACGACCGCCGGAGGAUCGCCGCGAUGCGCCCCCUGGCCCGCGCCCACCGAGAGCCCAACCUUAACAACCCAUUGUGAAUCGUGUCUUAUGUCUAAAUUUAUGAUUAAACAAUCAAGUCAAAACUUUCAACAACGGAUCUCUUGGUUCUG
rnacentral:misc_RNA from 1 species